rnacentral:rRNA from 1 species
AUACGGAGGAUGCGAGCGUUAUCCGGAUUUAUUGGGUUUAAAGGGAGCGUAGGUGGGAUAUUAAGUCAGCUGUGAAAGUUUGGGGCUCAACCUUAAAAUUGCAGUUGAUACUGGUUUCCUUGAGUGCGGUAUAGGUGGGCGGAAUUCGUGGUGUAGCGGUGAAAUGCUUAGAUAUCACGAAGAACUCCGAUCGCGAAGGCAGCUCACCGGGCCGGAACUGACACUGAUGCUCGAAAGUGCGGGUAUCAAACAGGAUUAGAUACCCUGGUAGUCCGCACAGUAAACGAUGAAUACUCGCUGUUUGCGAUACACUGUAAGCGGCCAAGCGAAAGCGAUAAGUAUUCCACCUGGGGAGUACGCCGGCAACGGUGAAACUCAAAUGAAUUGACGGGG